GCGCCGCCAGGGAGACCCGAAGGCUCAGCGUCCCGUUGCGCGGGGAAGUCUCCAGCCAGAUGCCUCGGAGAGGCUGCCCUCUUGGCAGAGCCCAUUUAGGAGAAGGAAAUAAAACUCGCAUCCUAAACCUCGCUGCCUUGUGGGAUUUUCCAGCAGAAGAAAAAGCUAAGGAAUAAAAGCUGCACAAAUCUGGAGUGGAGUCCCUGAGACGGUUGGAUGGCACCUUGCACUGCGACUACUCUUAUUAUUAUUUAUAAUAUUUUUUAUUGAAUUUUCAAUUUUACAUUUCCAAAUAAACAUUUUACAAACUGAAA